rnacentral:ribozyme from 17 species
ACUAUUAAUGUGCUAAAAACCCAAAUAUAUCUCCCUAUGUAUUCCGGAACAUGCAAUUUCAUUAUUUAGGAAACAUUAAUAAUGUAAAUCACAAUUCCGGGAAUCACUCAAUAUUCGUACAUCACAUGAAGAAAUAUUUUUCUCUCAUCUAUCAUACAAGUGCAGAAAAGAUGAGCUAC